CGAAGUAGGUCGAACGGCUCGGUCGUCACACUGCAUAAGUUUAAUCGUUGCGAAUCUGCUGACCUAGGGAAGAGUUAAAUAAAAAAGAAAGAAAAAAUAACAGAAGGCAGGAUAUUCGUGGAACAAGAUGGCAGUAAAGAAAGUUAGGUCGAAGAAGUCUGAAAAAGUGGAGCACAGGGAAAUUGAAGAAAAUGCAGCCAGAGGGAGAAAUUGCGAGAAAAAAAUGUAGGGAAGAGUGGAUAGAACAACGACAAAGUGGAAUGAAAUCGAGCAGGAGGAAGGCGGAAGUUCGAGGAUGGAACAGUGUACGGAAAGAAAGCAAAAAGAAGAAACUGUGGGCGAAGAGAAAAAGGCAGGAAACGAAGGGAAAUGGAAAGAAACGCGUAACAUCGAGAAGGGUAGCUGGUUUCGACUUUGUAGUAGGCCUCGAUCGAUGCUGUUACCAUGGCUACAGGGGCAGUACCGCGGUGCUCUACUACUGAUUAUUUAUGUCAAGGAUCCCUCCCUACUUCGAAGCUUGGAACGCAAACUCAAACGCGAACCACCCCAACGUAAGUGGCGAUAGCAUUCGAGACUCUCUUUCGGAAGAUUUCGAACAAUUUUCUCAUAAUUAAAUUUACAUUUUGUAAACGUUUGUAAAUUGUACAUUUUAAAUACCUGAUUUUACUUUAUGAAUUAAUCUUAUUCAUAAUUUUGUAUUACCGAAAUUUUUCAUAAACGGAUGAACGAAAAGUUAUCAAGUUUCAAAUUGUAAACUGAAAAUGAUUUUAUCGAAUAUAUGUAAUAUCGAUUAUUCUAAUAGAUCGAUUAGAUCAAAUGCGAUUUCUAUGCUAUUUACACAUUAG
rnacentral:lncRNA from 1 species